rnacentral:rRNA from 1 species
UACGUAGGGUGCGAGCGUUGUCCGGAAUUAUUGGGCGUAAAGAGCUCGUAGGCGGUUUGUCGCGUCUGCUGUGAAAACUCAGGGCUUAACCCUGAGCUUGCAGUGGGUACGGGCAGACUAGAGUGCGGUAGGGGGAGACUGGAAUUCCUGGUGUAGCGGUGAAAUGCGCAGAUAUCAGGAGGAACACCGGUGGCGAAGGCGGGUCUCUGGGCAUUUCCUGACGCU